UCUCCAGGAGCUCAUCUAUAUGGACAUGUAUAGCAAAUAUGGAGGACAGACCCCCAAAAACCGUCUCCAGCAGCACAUGUAUAUGGACAUGGGUCGAUACAUGACCAUACAUGUCUCGGGUGCGUCCUCCACAUCUGGGUGACGAAGCCGGGAUCAUUGCUCACUCGCCCGCGCGAUUCCGCUCGCGUCCCGCGCGAUUCCGCCCGGCUCCCGCGCGAAUCGGAAGCUGCGAGCGACGACGAGGAGGACGCCGGCGCCUGUCCGCGACUCGCCGAAGAUGGACAAUUCAGAGAUGAACAGCUCACCGGCACCUACUUCUGGAUCUUUUUUGGACCUGUUGAAUACUGGUUCCGAUGACAUGAAUUGGGGUGACACACAGAAUUAUAGCCCAAUUGGAGAACAAGUGACAACUCCAAUUGAAAAUGUUGUUGCAUCUGGUAAACCCAAGAGUAGAAAGGGUGUCCCGAAGGGGAAAAAUUGGUCAAGUCUUGAGGACAAGGUGUUGAUAGAAUCAUGGGCAAACACAAGUUUGGAUGGGGUAGUCGGAGCCGAUCAACAUUCAGAUUCUUAUUGGGCUAGGAUUACGGAGUACUACAACCAACACAAGAAUCCAGCAUGGCAGCUUCGUAAUGUUGCAUCGGUCAAUGGUCGCUACACCACUAUUUCAUCCGCUACGAGCAAGUUCUGUGGAUGCCUUCAGCAGGCUUUAAAUAUGAACCAAAGCGGAAGAACUUUAGACGAGAAGAAAGAGGAGGCACAACGUUUGUUUAUU